UCAAACCUUAGAAUUUUCUCCACCUCCGGUGGCGGCACCGGCUCUGAUGGUCGCAAAAUUAACAACAAACAGCCCCCUCGAGCUCCUCUUCCCAGAUAUCCAAGCCCCUUCCCUCAAAUAUCAUCAGAACCCUUCAAAUCUUAAUUCUGAGAGACUUGAUUUUUGACAAAAAACCUUAAGCCCGUGUUUGAGCGAUGAUUAAGACCCAUUUCGGUCAAAAUCAAAAGGUAGAAGAAGGCCUUCGAGACCAG
rnacentral:lncRNA from 1 species